rnacentral:rRNA from 1 species
GGCUUAGAGUUUGAUCAUGGCUCAGGACGAACGCUGGCGGCGCGCCUAACACAUGCAAGUCGAACGGGGUUGAGAGGAGCUUGCUUUUCUUGACUUAGUGGCGAACGGGUGAGUAACGCGUGAGGAACCUGCCUCAAAGAGGGGGACAACAGUUGGAAACGACUGCUAAUACCGCAUAAGCCCACAGUCUCGCAUGAGACAGAGGGAAAAGGAGCAAUCCGCUUUGAGAUGGCCUCGCGUCCGAUUAGCUAGUUGGUGAGGUAACGGCCCACCAAGGCGACGAUCGGUAGCCGGACUGAGAGGUUGAACGGCCACAUUGGGACUGAGACACGGCCCAGACUCCUACGGGAGGCAGCAGUGGGGAGUAUUGCACAAUGGGGGAAACCCUGAUGCAGCGACGCCGCGUGGAGGAAGAAGGUCUUCGGAUUGUAAACUCCUGUUGUUAGGGAAAAAGAGGAUGGUACCCAACAAGGAAGUGACGGCUAACUACGUGCCAGCAGCCGCGGUAAAACGUAGGUCACAAGCGUUGUCCGGAAUUACUGGGUGUAAAGGGAGCGCAGGCGGGUAUGCAAGUUGGGAGUGAAAUACAUGGGCUCAACCCAUGAACUGCUCUCAAAACUGUGUAUCUUGAGUAGUGCAGAGGUAGGCG